UGAUUUGCAGUAUUUUAUAUAUGUCUUUUACUUGUAGUAUACAUAUUUCUGGUACACAGCUGUAUGUUUGUUACAAAUUGUAUAUGCAUCAACCAAGUUGAAUGUUUCAAUCCAUAUUUUUGUUUGAAUAACUGUAGAGCUUUUUGAAUUACAUAAAAAUUAAUUUGUUUAUAAAGAAUACAAAGCACUU
rnacentral:sRNA from 1 species